UUGGGCACUGUCUCAACAACAGACUCGGUGAAAUUGUAAUUCCGGUGAAGAUGCCGGAUACCUGCGACAGGACGGAAAGACCCCAUGGAGCUUUACUGUAGCUUGACAUUGGGUCUUGGUACUACAUGUACAGGAUAGGUGGGAGGCUUUGAAACCAGGACGCCAGUUUUGGCGGAGCCAUCCUUGGGAUACCACCCUUGUAGUACUGGGACUCUAACCAUAGGCCAUGAAUCUGGUCUUGGGACACUGUCAGGUGGGCAGUUUGACUGGGGCGGUCGCCUCCCAAAAGGUAACGGAGGCGCUCAAAGGUUCUCUCAGUACGGUCGGAAAUCGUACGUAGAGUGUAAAGGCAAAAGAGAGCUUGAUUGCAAGACAUACAGGUCGAGCAAGGAUGAAAAUCGGACUUAGUGAUCCGGUGGUUCUGCGUGGAAGGGCCAUCGCUCAACGGAUAAAAGCUACCCUGGGGAUAACAGGCUUAUCUCCCCCAAGAGUCCACAUCGACGGGGAGGUUUGGCACCUCGAUGUCGGCUCAUCACAUCCUGGGGCUGUAGUAGGUCCCAAGGGUUGGGCUGUUCGCCCAUUAAAGUGGUACGCGAGCUGGGUUCAGAACGUCGUG
rnacentral:rRNA from 1 species